GCGAGCCACAUAAUAGGCAGCCACGCUUAGAUCUGAGGUAUCCGUCUAAUCCAUUUUGUAGAUGCCACAUGAAAUCAUGUAUAAGGGUGGUUGAAGCUGUAAUGAAGCCAUCAAGGGGAAGGUUGUAUUAUUCUUGUGUUUUUCGUCGUUGCACGUUUUUUUAAUGGUGUGAGCCAAUUCGAGCCGUACAAUAUCCAAGCUGGGAAAAUCCUAGUUGGGAACAACCGUUGCCCAAUGAAUUUGAUGAAGCCGACGAAAUUAUUCCACAAGCUUCUACUGAAAAAAAAUAUCGAUUUAUGCUGCAAAUUUCAUGGGCUAUAUGCGUAGCAUUGUUUGUAAUUGUUUUGGUGCUGCUACUGAAGAUUUGAAGCUGUUAUGAAUGACCCUGUUUUGAUAAGUUGUAAUGUAGUAUUAGUUGUUCAAGUUGUUGCUAUCAGUGUAAUAUUGACAGUUUGAUGUUAUUUAGUCUAGUAUCAUUAGGAAUUUGAGAUGUUGUAAUGACAAUUUGAUGUUACUUGAUGACCCUGUUUUGAUAAGUUGUAAUGUAGUAUUAGUUGUUCAAGUUGUUGCUAUCAGUGUAAUAUUGACAAUAUGAUGUUAUUUAGUCUAGUAUCAUUAGGAAUUUGAGAUGUUGUAAUGACAAUUUGAUGUUACUUAUUCAAGUAUCAUUAGGAAUUUGAGAUGUUGUAAUGACAAUUUGAUGUUACUUAUUCAAGUAUUAUUAGGAGUUUGAGAUGUUGUAAUGAUAAUUUGAUGUUAUCUAUUCAAGUAUUCAAGUAUUAUUACGAAUUUGUGAUGUUGCAGUUCUUUUGGUUUUGGUUGUUGUAUUCCCAGAAUUUGUACUUACUAAUUAGCAUGGACCCCCCUGUAUAAUUAUAAAUAAGCAAAAGAAACCCUGUGUUGUAAACAAUUAGCAUAAACCCCCCUAUUUUAUAAGUAUGUAGUAAAUUCCUCCCUGUUUACAUGUUUCUCCCCCUGUAACAAUUAAUUAACAACAAUCCAAUGAAAUCAACAAUAACAAACCAACAUACAAUUUCAUCAAAAUAUAUCCAAAUUCAUCUACUGACAAAUUCAUGAACAGAAAAAAGUCAAAAGGUCAUACAAAGACCAGCAAAAGGGUGUUACAAGUUCAUCAAAAGACCAUCUAGAGUUAUAUCACAAGUUUAUCAAAAGAUCACCAAUUCAAAAGGACUUUUACAGAUUCAAAAAACAUUCAACUUUCAAAAGACAUCCAAAAGAAUUUUACAAUAGAUCAAGGCUUCCAAUGCCUCUUCUUCUUAGAAGCAUUCCUAAUAUUCUGAAGGACUUCUGCUAUUUGAGGCUUUCUUUUGCGCACAUGAAUUUGACUUGAAUUUCCAGCUUGAAAAGUUGCAUUUGAAGUAGAUGGUGGAACAGUUUUUGCAGUAGGAGGUGGAACAGUUGCUUGUGCUUGACUUAGGGGUGGAAUAGUUGCUUGUGCUUGAUUUGUUGGCCUUGGUUUCUUGAAUUUUUUGGUUCUUCCUAGUAAAGAAUCAUUUCUUCUUCCUUGGUAUAUCUACAAUUGCAAUUAAACAGUUACAAAUACUAGGCAAUAUGACCAGUUCAAACAAUGGAAAGAA